rnacentral:rRNA from 1 species
AUACGUAGGGUGCAAGCGUUAAUCGGAAUUACUGGGCGUAAAGCGUGCGCAGGCGGUUUAUUAAGUCUAAGAUUAAAGCCUGAGGCUUAACCUCAGUUCGUUUUAGAAACUGGUAGACUUGAGUAUGGUAGAGGCAAGUGGAAUUUCUAGUGUAGCGGUUAAAUGCGUAGAUAUUAGAAGGAACACCAGUGGCGAAGGCGGCUUGCGGGGCCAUCACUGACGCUGAGGCACGAAAGCGUGGGGAGCAAAUAGGAUUAGAUACCCUAGUAGUCCACGCCGUAAACGAUGAGUACUAAGUGUCGGGAAACCGGUGCUGAAGUUAACACAUUAAGUACUCCGCCUGAGUAGUACGGUCGCAAGGCUGAAACUCAAAUGAAUUGGCGGGG